rnacentral:lncRNA from 1 species
UCCGUGUAGGUCGACCUCUCAGACAUUUACGUAGUUUUAGUUUACGUAGUUGGCUCCGGCUUUAUCCGGGGCUCAUAACCUGUUAUAAAUGGUAACUAUGCUGAUGUUUGAUCACAUAUUGCAUACAACCUUAGCACAACGUUGUGUUGCAAGAUAAGCAGAUAAACGCCAGAACUAAUAAAGGCAAGAGCCCAGAGAUGCCGUGCAAUCUGCACGGCAUGGUACCGAAACCAGUUUGCUCAGAGGGCUGACGGCCACAACCUCAGUGGCAGGUGAUUGAAGCGAAGCAGUGGAUCCCCAUAUGGCAUAACGAGGCCGAACUGUUUUACAAGGAGAGACCAGAGCGCACCGGUGCCCUACGCAAGCCAGUACCGCGACAAUGACAGCAAUGGUGGAGAAGGCGGAGAGAUGGAUGCUGAGAACAAUGACGACGCUGUAAAUAUGCCUUCCAAGGGCUGUGCUGGCGGAGUGGUAAUGAUGGCGCUCAUCUGAUUGAUACUCAUGACCUUGUAGAAGCUGGAGUACAUAAGUAUGACACACCCCUUGUGGACAGCAAGCGCGUCUCCAUACUGUUGAUGUUGUUACAGGGUGGUUAAGCUUCACCAGUGGCCUCCUUCCCGAGGCAAUUCCCUGCUCUCCCCUGCUAGAGGGGCACCCUAAGCCAUUCACCCCAUCCGACUUCAGAGUGUACUCUAUGAGUUUGGCAACUCACCACCAGCAUCCAACCAAAUCUAGCGGAUCAACGGCGCGUCAACUUAGUUCCUGGUCAGCUCGCGAGUUGAUUUUAUCACGUCCUACACCGUCCACAAGAUGGGGGGUCACCUCCCAUUUCAUCACCUCUCAAACACCCCGAGAGGUCGGCAGGCUGAUUUGAACCCGGACGCGCCGGGACGCGCCGGGAGCAGAAGCCAGGCCUUAACCUCUGCCAGCCGCCUGUCUGUUGUAUGCAGACGAUGUUAGUCUGCUAGCGACGUCACUAGAGCGAAUGUCUGAGUUGCUAUAUUUUGUGGACUUAGGGUCUUGUGGACAAACCCUAAGUGCAAAGUCCGAGCAAUUCUGUUGUAUGGCUGCCAGGCAUGGGGCCCUUUUGUGCUGGCAGAGGUUGUGGACAUGGCGGGAAGGCGGCGGGAUAAAGCCAACCUUGCGGAGGGUAUGUUUGAAGCCUGCUUGAAGGAUAGCGCAGUCCAGCUUCAGAUUUUAUUCAUGAGGCUGGUAGUGAUUGCGGCACAGCGAUCCCACAGGCUGUUGAUGUUGUUACAGGGUGGUUAAGCUACACCAGUGGCCUCCUUCCCGAGGCAAUUCCCUGCUCUCCCCUGCUAGAGGGGCAUCCUAAUCCAUUCACCCCAUCCGGCUUCAGAGUGUACUCUUUGAGUUUGGCAACUCACCACCAGCAUCCAACCAAAUCUAGCGGAUCAAUGGUGCAUCAACUUAGUUCUUGGUCAGCUCACAAGUUGAUGUUAUCGCGUCCUACACCGUCCAGAAGAUGGGGGUUCACCUCCCAUUUCACCACCUCUCAAACACCCGAGAGGUCGGCAGGCGGAUUUGCACCCG